rnacentral:rRNA from 1 species
GAAGUAAAAGUCGUAACAAGGUUUCCGUAGGUGAACCUGCGGAAGGAUCAUUAAAAAUUUAAUUGUUUACACGUUUACGUUUAACAUAUACAACUAACCAAUUUAAUUAUGUCAACAACAACAACCAAAAAUCAAAACUUUCAACAACGGAUCUCUUGGUUCUCGCAUCGAUGAAGAACGCAGCGAAAUGCGAUAAGUAAUAUGAAUUGCAGAUUUUCGUGAAUCAUCGAAUCUUUGAACGCACAUUGCACCUUGUGGUAUUCCACAAGGUAUGCCUGUUUGAGCGUCAUUUCUCCCUCAACCCCCGCGGGUUGGCGUUGAAUGGCACGAGCUCUUAGUCAGUCCAUUCGAAAAGUAUUUUUCUUGUGUUGUUAUUUUCUAAUUUAGUAGUGACAACCACACUAAAAACACAUUUUCCUCAAAUCAGGUAGGACUACCCGCUGAACUUAAGCAUA